rnacentral:lncRNA from 1 species
CAACACCUCCACGGAAAAAUGAUGGCGGCCACAGCAAGACGAGCGAUGACUAUUUUUUUUAAAUAUACACAAAUACAGCACUACGCACCCCAAAGCGCCCUUUGGCUCCCAGGACACAGGGCUGUGUUUAAGACAACAGCAUAGGAGCUCAUGACAAGACUAAUUAGGAGCACAAGGGGAGUAUGCAGGCUCAGGACCGAGAGUUUGACAAUGAAUUAAGACCUGGGGCUUUGGGAUACUGAAAUUUGUCAACAAAAUUAACAUUCCCUUUCCUGGAAACUCUCAAGCUGAAGGAGUUUACGAGGACCUUAUUUUAAGUGUCCAACUUGGAGGGAAUUAUCAGAGAGAGAGAGCGAGAGACGGUAAAAACAAACAGUAGCCGCCAUCAGCCCCUUCAACAGCACUGUAAACCUAGCCAAGGAUGGGUUCCCGCCCACUGCUUCUCACAGCCGUUCUCCUCUGAUGCCUUCGCAGAUCGGAAUUUGGGGAAGGAGUGGCCUCCAUGACCUCAACAUCAGAAGCCUAGAGGGUCUUUGUGGCUUAAAGGGCUGUGGUAAGAGAAAGCCUAAAAUAAUACUUAUAUUAGGAACAACCAACACCACGAUAAGAAGAAGAACAGAAAAGGAAGACGUGGGUUCCAUUUACAUAGACACGUGAAGUACUGGCUGCCGAUUGUAGAGGAGAGAUUCCUGGGCAAGUGCAGAGUUAUAUAGAGUGCCCUUUCUACCUGACACACGAAAGAAAUGAGCUGUAACAGACGCCAGCGGCAGGUGCAGGACCUGUGAGCUUCACUCACUGUGCCCCAGUGUUUGGGUUCCUGCGCUUUGAACCGCCUUACUUUAAGAAGCCUUGUCAUUGGAAAAUUGACCGCAGCUGAUGGCUUCUGUCAUUUGUGCUGUUGUUUGGAGGGCAGGGCUCUGCGUCGCUUUGUCAGGCCGCACAGGGAAUGCGCCACCUCCGGCCCGCACUGUCUGCCUACCCAGACCCACAAGGCUCCUCAAAGCCUCCUCACCAAGGGCUGACUCUUUUGCCUUGUUCUUUCUUUUUCUUUCUGUUUAUUCUUUCAAAACAUGUACUCCUUUUAGGCAGUUGCGAGAACUUCUACAAUAAUCUGUGUUCUAAAUUUUAGGAGCCACAAUAAAAACCUCUCU